rnacentral:rRNA from 1 species
AGCGAACGCUGGCGGCAUGCCUAACACAUGCGAGUCGAACGAGACCUUCGGGUCUAGUGGCGCACGGGUGCGUAACGCGUGGGAACCUGCCCUUAGGUUCGGAAUAACUCCCCGAAAGGGGUGCUAAUACCGGAUAAUGUCUUCGGACCAAAGAUUUAUCGCCUUUGGAUGGGCCCGCGUUGGAUUAGCUAGUUGGUAGGGUAAAAGCCUACCAAGGCGACGAUCCAUAGCUGGUCUGAGAGGAUGAUCAGCCACACUGGGACUGAGACACGGCCCAGACUCCUACGGGAGGCAGCAGUGGGGAAUAUUGGACAAUGGGCGAAAGCCUGAUCCAGCAAUGCCGCGUGAGUGAUGAAGGCCUUAGGGUUGUAAAGCUCUUUUACCCGGGAUGAUAAUGACAGUACCGGGAGAAUAAGCGCCGGCUAACUCCGUG